AUUGAACGCUGGCGGCAGGCUUAACACAUGCAAGUCGAACGAGUGGCGGAAGGGUGAGUAAUGCUUGGGCAUCUGGGUUAUGGAGGGCGAUAAAGAAGGGAACCUGUCGAUAAUACCGCGUAACAUAGGAGGAGCCCAAGUGGGAUUAGGUAGUUGGUGGGGUAAUGGCCUACCAAGCCGCCGAGCUCUACUGGGUCUGAGAGGAUGACCAGCCACACCGUGACUGAGACACGGCCCGGACUCCUACGGGAGGCAGCAGUGGGGAAUAUUGCGCAAUGGGGGCAACCUGACGCAGCCAUGCCGCGUGAAUGAAGAAGGCCUUCGGGUUGUAAAGUUCUUUCGGUGACGAGGCGUUACUCACAGAAGAAGCACCGGCUAACUCCGUGCCAGCAGCCGCGGUAAUAC
rnacentral:rRNA from 1 species